rnacentral:rRNA from 1 species
CCAGCUUGCUGGAUGCUGACGAGCGGCGGACGGGUGAGUAAUGCAUAGGAAUCUGCCCGAUAGUGGGGGAUAACCUGGGGAAACCCAGGCUAAUACCGCAUACGUCCUACGGGAGAAAGGGGGCUCCGGCUCCCGCUAUGGGAUGAGCCUAUGUCGGAUUAGCUAGUUGGUGAGGUAACGGCUCACCAAGGCCACGAUCCGUAGCUGGUCUGAGAGGAUGAUCAGCCACAUCGGGACUGAAACACGGCCCGAACUCCUACGGGAGGCAGCAGUGGGGAAUAUUGGACAAUGGGGGAAACCCUGAUCCAGCCAUGCCGCGUGUGUGAAGAAGGCCCUCGGGUUGUAAAGCACUUUCAGCGAGGAAGAACGCCUAGCGGUUAAUACCCGCUAGGAAAGACAUCACUCGCAGAAGAAGCACCGGCUAACUCCGUGCCAGCAGCCGCGGU